rnacentral:rRNA from 1 species
UGGGGAAUUUUGGACAAUGGGCGAAAGCCUGAUCCAGCAAUGCCGCGUGUGUGAAGAAGGCCUUCGGGUUGUAAAGCACUUUUGUCCGGAAAGAAAUCCUCUGGGUUAAUACCUCGGGGGGAUGACGGUACCGGAAGAAUAAGCACCGGCUAACUACGUGCCAGCAGCCGCGGUAAUACGUAGGGUGCAAGCGUUAGUCGGAAUUACUGGGCGUAAAGCGUGCGCAGGCGGUUUUGUAAGACGGAUGUGAAAUCCCCGGGCUUAACCUGGGAACUGCAUUCGUGACUGCAAGGCUAGAGUAUGGCAGAGGGGGGUAGAAUUCCACGUGUAGCAGUGAAAUGCGUAGAGAUGUGGAGGAAUACCGAUGGCGAAGGCAGCCCCCUGGGCCAAUACUGACGCUCAUGCACGAAAGCGUGGGGAGCAAACAGGAUUAGAUACCCUGGUAGUCCACGCCCUAAACGAUGUCAACUAGUUGUUGGGGAUUCAUUUCCUUAGUAACGUAGCUAACGCGUGAAGUUGACCGCCU